CCUUAUUGGAUAAAAGAAAAGUCGGUGGCGACUCUUGCUAACCGCGACAUUGCGAUUAAAACCACAAAAAAGUCCAGUUCACCGUAUGACAGUUAUCAAGAAAUGAGAAGAUUGAUAGUGUUAUUAGUGUUCUUGUUUUGCUAAAUUUUGUAUAUUGUUAUCAAGAAAUGAGAAGAUUGAUAGUGUUACUAAUGUUCUUGUUUUUUUUAAAUUUUGUAUAUUGUUAUUAAGAAAUGAGACUAUUGAUAGUGUUAUUAGUGUUAUUGUUUUGCUAUAUUUUGUAUAUUGUUAUCAAGAAAUGAGAGGAUUGAUAGUUUUAUUAGUGUUCUUGUUUUGCUAAAN
rnacentral:lncRNA from 1 species